rnacentral:rRNA from 1 species
ACGGAAGGCAGCAGUGGGGAAUAUUGGACAAUGGGGGAAACCCUGAUCCAGCGACGCCGCGUGAGUGAAGAAGUAUUUCGGUAUGUAAAGCUCUAUCAGCAAGGAAGAAAAUGACGGUACUUGACUAAGAAGCUCCGGCUCAAUACGUGCCAGCAGCCGCGGUAAUACGUAUGGAGCAAGCGUUAUCCGGAUUUACUGGGUGUAAAGGGAGCGUAGACGGCAAAGCAAGUCUGAAGUGAAAUCCCGGGGCUCAACCCCGGAACUGCUUUGGAAACUGUUUAGCUAGAGUGCAGGAGAGGUAAGCGGAAUUCCUAGUGUAGCGGUGAAAUGCGUAGAUAUUAGGAGGAACACCAGUGGCGAAGGCGGCUUACUGGACUGUAACUGACGUUGAGGCUCGAAAGCGUGGGGAGCAAACAGGAUUAGAUACCCUGGUA